AGAAAUUCACAAGAAGUUAAUUACCAAGCAAAUCAGAAUCAUCAAUCACUGUAUUAAUUUACAACCAUGUCCAUAAUUAACAAGAUAAACAUUAUUCCCAAAACUGAUGGGCUCUUCACGAGAUGUUCUAUAAAUGGGUCCCUUGAUAGAAAAUAACUAACAGCCUUAUUAACUACUAAAACAUCACAAAAUAUCUGUGCUUGGAAAAGUGUCAACUGUUACAUGGAAGGAUUGGUAAAGAGUAAAAUCAGUCUAGGAAGGUUCUCAAGAGCUACGGUGAAGAGACCACCAAGUAUAAACAUCAAAACAAAUGCAAACAUUAUCCUCCCAAUGUAUUUCAGACUUUGAUCUCCUUCAAAUUCUGCUUUCAUAGCUUUUGCAGGCUUGGAAUCUUUGGAACCCUGCAAAGCAAACGGACCCGUACAAUGCUGAAGCAUAAUAUAUACAAUAAGGUUGCAAUUUGAAAAAAACAAGAACAUACCAAACAAGAUCUAAAGGGUAGAAAACGAACUUAGAGAAGUUAUGUGAGGGGAAUAAAUUAUUAGUGAAAGAAAAGCUUAUUCUGAUUUUACUGUCUCACAAGUCGCUUUUAGUUUUGAAUGUUCUUACAAGUCGAACUUUCUCACAAGUUGUAUUUGUUACACUUUGACUUUCAUUUACUAUGGUUGAGAGAGUUGAAGAUUCUCUAAAACUAACCCUUGGCCCUUUGGUUAAUACCUCUCCUCUGAUUCUUUGUACUCAGUUUGGUAAGAGAAGGUGAAAAAGAUGAUUCUCUAUUCUAACAGAACAAAGACAUGCAAUGUCCACUAGGUAAGAUACAUACCGUUGAUAACACAGAAGGAAACUGUCUCUGUAAAGGGCCCUCUUUCUCAGUUCCUGCAUCAAAAGAUAGAGAACUAUUAGCAACAGUUCAGCCUGAGAAGCAAUUUGUAGACAAAGAGCAGACACAUGUUUCUGGAAUCUGAAAUUACCAGGCAAAUCAGAAUCGGCAAUCACUGUCUUAAGCAUCCAACCAUGUCCGUAACUCACAAGAGAAGCACCAUCCCGACCAUGGUACGAACAAACAAGCCGCACGACUAGGUAAACAAGUAAUAGGAUCGUACAUGUAAAACUAAAUUGACCAUGGUGCGAACAAUCCUAAUAUUUGGUUCUACAAGUGCUAGAGGGAUUAAGGCCACACGGCCAUAUGAAUUUCAAUGCAAUCAGAUUCGAAUUCAUUAUGUUUCUACAUGUUGGUCGAUUUCAUUAAACAAUUUGAAUGCAAUUCAAUUCAAAUUUAUAUGUAUGCAAACAAUCCUAGGGUUUCCGAUUUGAACACCAGUAGGAUUCAAUUUCAAGAUUAAGGUUUCAAGGCCUUUAGGAUUCAAGUUCUAGAUCAUAUUACUUCAAUCAAUCUAACAAUCCUAAAACCUUAGAUCAACAAACAUUCAAUCAAUUAAAAUCGGAUUCAGUCCUUUAGGGUUUAGGGUUUCGAUUCCAAUAAUUAGGGUUUCUCAAAAUCAAAUCAGGAACAAUCAAUUGAGUUCUAGGGAAUCGAUUUCUAUAUUACUAGUCAUAAGAUUGUAGAUUUUAGAUUGUAGGUUUUAGGGUUUUGAUCAAGAACAAGGUUUCCAUAAUAAUGGAUUAGGGUUUUGAUUAAUCUAGGUUCUCAUAUCAAGUUAUACCUUUGCUUUGUAGAGGUUUAGAACCGGACCACCUUUAGAUAGAGAGAGAGAAUCGAUCGGACGCUUGUGGACUCCAAUCGGGUCGCGGAUGGGACGAUCGCGGGCUGGACGUGUCUCGGCUGCGAGCUGCGCGGAGAUCGGGUCGUCUCGGGUUUGAUCGCGGACUGCACGGGUUCUUCUGAGCUGAGAACGUGAUCUGAGAACGUCUAGGUAUCAAGAGGGAUCAACUGAGUUCUUGAUUGAACUAAGAACGAGAUUAGGGUUUUGGGUUGUGGUCGCCGGUUUUGGCUUUUAGGGUUAGAGGUUUCGAUUUGUCUCAGGGAUCUAGAGACGAUCGUGCUGAUAACGUGUUGUAAAAGAAUGGAGAAUUUUGUCUGUGUAUUAUUAAUGAAUAAUAGAGGUUCCUUAUAUAAGGAUUACAAAGUAUAGGAAAAAGGAAAUUAUCCAAAACCUAAUACAACAUGAAAUAGGAAAAGAUCUAAAACAGAUAAAUGGAAAACAUCCUAGAUCUAAGGUCGGUCAAGAGAUAGGCCGACUCUCUCGCCUCCGGACGCCGACUCUCUCUCCUCUUGGUCACGGCCACGGUUGGGCCUAGACAUGGUCAUUGGUUAUGAGCCAUCCACGUAAUGAUUUAUAACAAAAACUUCAUUAAUAGUGUUCACUACUCGAUUCAUCAAAUUGUUUUCCGACAAAAUUGGAAUCACCGGGGAAGUAUACAUUGGACAACAUGCUCGUCAAGUCAUUGAUCGCUGCGGACCACAUUACUCAUUUGAAAGAAUGUUUACACACCAUGAACGAAUAUGGAAAUAAGCUUAAUUUGAGUAAUAGAAUGAACCUUUGAUAUCCAAAAACGAAAAAAAAAAACUGUUUAUAAAGUAAAAACUUGAAUCAACAAUGUCAUAUUUCAGCCGUAAAAAACAAUAAAUUGCAAAUAUCUCUUUGAAGUUUUUUUUUUCUCCAUUUAUAUAUAAGAGAGGAAAAUUCACAAGCCUAAGAAUCUGAUAUUCUUAACAUUCCAUCUUCUGCAUCUUGUGACCACCAUAUACAAAGACAUAAGCACAAAACUUUAUGUGACCUAAAUAAUUGAAAUUGCAGCUAAACGGAAAUGAUGUAUUGCUAUUAUGUACACAGGUUGAUUGGAAGACCAUGAGAAGUAUUUGCGCGCAGAUCGUUUUAGAUUUCCAGACAUUUCUCGAAUGUAAAUGUUGAAAUUCACAAGAAGUUAACUACCAAGAAAUUCACAAGAAGUUAAUUACCAAGCAAAUCAGAAUCAUCAAUCACUGUAUUAAUUUACAACCAUGUCCAUAAUUAACAAGAUAAACAUUAUUCCCAAAACUGAUGGGCUCUUCACGAGAUGUUCUAUAAAUGGGUCCCUUGAUAGAAAAUAACUAACAGCCUUAUUAACUACUAAAACAUCACAAAAUAUCUGUGCUUGGAAAAGUGUCAACUGUUACAUGGAAGGAUUGGUAAAGAGUAAAAUCAGUCUAGGAAGGUUCUCAAGAGCUACGGUGAAGAGACCACCAAGUAUAAACAUCAAAACAAAUGCAAACAUUAUCCUCCCAAUGUAUUUCAGACUUUGAUCUCCUUCAAAUUCUGCUUUCAUAGCUUUUGCAGGCUUGGAAUCUUUGGAACCCUGCAAAGCAAACGGACCCGUACAAUGCUGAAGCAUAAUAUAUACAAUAAGGUUGCAAUUUGAAAAAAACAAGAACAUACCAAACAAGAUCUAAAGGGUAGAAAACGAACUUAGAGAAGUUAUGUGAGGGGAAUAAAUUAUUAGUGAAAGAAAAGCUUAUUCUGAUUUUACUGUCUCACAAGUCGCUUUUAGUUUUGAAUGUUCUUACAAGUCGAACUUUCUCACAAGUUGUAUUUGUUACACUUUGACUUUCAUUUACUAUGGUUGAGAGAGUUGAAGAUUCUCUAAAACUAACCCUUGGCCCUUUGGUUAAUACCUCUCCUCUGAUUCUUUGUACUCAGUUUGGUAAGAGAAGGUGAAAAAGAUGAUUCUCUAUUCUAACAGAACAAAGACAUGCAAUGUCCACUAGGUAAGAUACAUACCGUUGAU
rnacentral:lncRNA from 1 species